rnacentral:lncRNA from 1 species
GGAACAAUGUCAACCAGCCAAUGUUCCUGUCUACAAGUUCGGGACAAAAUAGGUCGCGCUACUCAUCCACGAAGCUGCGGUUAAGGUAACUUUUCUUUCUCAUAUUUAAGUUCACUUGGUUAGUCCUUCGAACAAUAUUCAACUUUUUGUUGGCUAAUUUGUAGACAAGCCACACACGGAUUAGUGAAACAAUGAAAUAAGACAUGUUCAAUUUCGGUUGAUAUUUAGGGUGGUAAGCUCUUGAAAUGGUGAAUCAAGUAACAUUUUAAAAAUGACGUAAAAUUAAAUUUGAUAUUCCUAAUUUGAUGUUCAUCUUGGGAGAUGACAGAAAUUUUAUUAGAAUGAAAACCAAAAGAGUGAUAUAGUUCUUGUUAGAAUAUUUGUGCAAAAUGAGCAUAUCAAAUUAAAAGACUUUUAAAGGAAGUUAGGGUUGUUUGAAUUGCUCUUUUAGUUAUUCAUUAGUUCUUUU